GCCGAGUGGUACUGGUAUAUAAGAAAGCUGUUGGCUUUCGAAGAAGAGCACUCAGCAAAACCAAGUUGUAUUGUAUCUCUGUAACUUCACAAGACAAAGAAGAAGAGAUAAAGAGAGAUGGAGGGUGCCACGGCUACUGCCGGGAGAGCAAUGAUGAACGGUGGAGAUUUGUCCAGGAGAUUAUCUGGCCGUCCGAUUCCGAAGAGGGGUCAGGUGAAGAUGGGAAUUGUGGUGGGAUUAGCCAAUUCUGUGGCUUCCAUCUUUGGUCCUCACCGCCGUCCAUCAAUGCACGCCCAGUCAAGGAACAACUCCUAGAGUUACUAAGACUUAGACGAAACUCAGAGAGUGAUUAGGCAUGAAGUUCUGAGCAUGUAAUGGAUUUUAAUGUUUGUACAUUGUAGAAUUUGCUUCAAAUAUAUAUUGAAAUGAGAAUUUGUUCAAUCAUUUCAUUUGAUAUUGAUACAAUAUUAUUUAUUUAUUUGGUACCCAGAUAGGUAUAUUGUUCAAAAAUUUGGCUGGUAUUAAAUCUUAAACCCCUACAAAAAGAAGCCGGGAAUUUGAGACUAAAAUUGG
rnacentral:lncRNA from 1 species